rnacentral:lncRNA from 1 species
CAGAGGUUCUGUUUAUUUGACCACUUUGAGGUCACAUGGGGUAGCUUAACUUUGGACAAAAUCUUGCUGAUACCAGGCUGUCCACAAGCCCAGUGGAGAAGGUAAGAACUGAAGGGAAGCUGUGCAUGGAAUCUGAUGCUUGUGCGGAGUGAACCUCUUCCCACACGGAUCUUCCCCCGUCUUUAUUCGGGUGAAGAUUAUGACAAGGCCUUUCAAGAUACUGGAACCACAAGGUAGAAGAAGCCUCUGUUGCCAAGGAGAAAAUUUGCCCACAGACUAGGAGCUCCUGCAGUGGAUGGUUAGAAAUACACUUCCUUUGAGCUCUGGUACUAUUUGAAUUUAUUUGGUAAAGCAGUAGUAUUAUAUUAAUGCAUGCUUAUUUUCAUUGUGUCCU